AGGGGAGGAGGGAAGGGGAGGGGAGGAGGGGGAGCAGGAAGGGGAGUGGGGAGCAGGGAGGGGAGGAGGGGGAGGGGAGAGGGGCAGGAGUGGGGAGGGGAGGAAGGGCGCAGCUGCUGCCCUUCGGGCCAAGGACGGCUGCAGUAGCAGACUUUGGGAUGUCAUGUUGCCCAGUCCUGUCUGCUGCUGGAAUAGUCCCUGUGGGGUAGACAGAAUAAAGCCCCUCCCUAAAGGGGCCCACAUCCCAUCCCCAGAACCUGUGGACGUAGCUGUCCCCCUGCCUGGGUGGCAAGACAAAAGACCCGGAGGCGCAGAGUGGCCCCUAACACAGCUGGAUGUCUGCGCUCAGCGCAUGUCUGCCUGCAGGACUUCUCAGAGCCUUUCUGAGGCCAGGGCCGGCGUGCACCGUGGCUCCCAGAACCCAGCCUCUGCUCACCCACACCUCACCACCCUGGCACACACAGGCUCACGGCAUCUGCGUGGAGAGCUUAGAGGAGAGGGUGAACGGAAGGGAGGCCCAUGAAGCAGAACCUGGUGUGAAAUGCCUAUGGUGGGGGGGAGGACCAUGAGGUCACCUGGUGCCAGACCUCAAUCACCAGACCCUCAAAUGUCCACAUAUGCACAGGCCUAUGCGCCCACACACACAUGCACGCACAUGAGCACACACGCACAGCAAAGCAAAUGUGCGCACAUUACAAUAACGGCAGUGGGAAAACCGCCCCGACAGCUCGUAAAGAAAGUGAUAUUCUACUGCUGUGACGUCAGCAGAGAGCAGUUUGUUUCCAGGGACAUCCUCCCCCCAGGAAUGGUGACAGCCUCACCGUCAUGGAGACGCAGGGUGCUUCGGGGACCUGGCCACGGCACCGUCGCAGGUCCUCAAAGUGUGUGUUCCAGAGGUGACAAGGGCUUCUCCACCCACAGAAGCCUCCCCCUGGGGAGGACUCACACAGACCCAUCCUAGAAGAAAAUGGGCUAUCAGGGCCUGAGCUGCUGUGGACACACAGAGUGGGUCGGGCAGGAAUGCCCUGGUCCAGCUCUCUGCCGAGGAAGCCCUUCUCACUGCAGUUGACACCUCCCUCCUGCUUCUGAGCCAAGCAGAGUUUCCCAUCCUCCACAUGACAGAGGAGCCGGCUUCAGACCUACCAGGUGUGGGAAUUGAUAGAAACAGGCAUUUAGACCACUGACUUGCAAACCCUUUUAGCCCCCAAAUCGUUUCCCCUUGAUAAUGUUGGACAAAGGGACAGAAUGUCCGUCAGGUGCAUGAGUGUCACUACCUGUGCACAGGCUCCAGUCCGCGUUAGGUGCCUGGACACUCCCUCCCCACUGUCCCUUUCUGCCACUCUGGACAAACACAGGGUGAUGGCUGGGGCACACCUGUCCCCUGCCCCUCCCUUCUCCAGGGCUCAGAGAACUUCUCCUCCCCAGGUAGACCACAGGGCUCUGGCGCUGUCCUGGAGAGGUCCGGGGAUGUCAUUGCUCAGCGCAUGCAGGCAGGGCCUCCCCAGGGGUCCUGAGAACAUCCACAGAGCCCCUAGCUCCCCAUUCACACCAGAUCGGCUCACUAAGGCUUCUGGGGGAGGGAUUACCUCCUGCCACUAGCUGCCCAUCCCCAGAACCCUGAGACAAUAGGUGUCUGGGAGUGUUGACCCAAGAAGAUCUCAG
ensembl:lincRNA